ensembl:lncRNA
UGUCUUUUCUUGGAAUGACAAACUUGGGAAUUGAUUCCAGCCUAGUGAGUCAUUUGGAUGUCUUUACUCUUCACAUCAUAGGGCACGCAGCAGGCCUCAUCAUGAGGGAUGAAAUCUAUACCUGCUGGUUCUUCUGUGGACUUGGAAUUUACCAUCACAAAGAUAACUCAAACCUAGCACUUCCAAGAGGUUGAGCCCCAGUACCUUGACUGAGGAACUGUCAAAACAGGCUUGCAAAAAUAUAGUAUAUUUUGAGUGUUUAAAUUUAAUAAACUAACACUUGUGAAACACUAUAAACUUAAUGCAACAUAAUUGUGUGAUGACUUGUAAAAUUUAAUUCAAGUUGUACAGUUUUAUAAUGGGGUAAUUGUAUAGUUGCACGAGAAAAAAAGUCCUCUCCACGUCUAUCCUGAAUCUCAGUGACCAUAUGUAUAACCUAGUUUGAAGUUAAGGUGAAAGUCUAAAUUUGACAUAUUUUGUGAAUAAGAGGCCUGGACCAAUGCCAUCCUAGAUAAGCUACUUGUUCUCCCUGUUCUCAAAGGGACACAAUGAAAUCACAUAUAAAAAAUAUUUUUGAGUAACAAGAUAAUUAAAUUUGGUGAGAGAGUGCUAUUCUUAAAAUCAAUAUGUUGGCAGGAUGGUUCUUUUCAUCUUUGCUAAAGUUUGCUAUAUCUCUGGUCCUAAUGUUUUUGAGCAUAGUUUACUGCAUAUCUCUUGCCAGGUCAGCUGAAUAUGAACUUAAAGAGACUUAACAAAACAGGAAAUAUGCAUUGAUGAUUUAGAAUUCCACUGUGCGACAAGUAAGAGCAAGUGCCUUGGGCAAGGGACUUGGGUAUUAUCUCCAUAACAUGCUGUGCCAGGCUGCAUAUUCAGGACAGGAUCUCUGACAGUGGAGAAAUAAUGACUUUCUGACAGACUGCUAGGGUGCCAGCAUGGAUUUUCCUGGCUUCAGUGGAAUAACUCAUUUUUCCAUCUGUAAAUAGAGUACUGACACAUUAGCUUCAUAUAAGCUUGAUGUUAGUCAGGGGCACUUUGGGGUACAAUUUUGAAGCUCUAGGGAAAUUUUAUAGCAAAGGUUAAAGUCCAGAGAGGAAAAGAGUCUAGAGAGAAAUUGAAAAUUGGGCACAAAUGGAGUAUAGUUUGACCCCCACAGCUCCUGCAUACAAACUGCAGACCCAGCUGCAGUAGGUGGUAGUGAAAUGAGGGAAGUUCUAGGGGGGACUCCAUCCUCUUCAGCAAGUGACACAUGGUGUGAAACCACACGGUAGCUUGGCAGUAUGGGGCAGCUGCUGCUUAGUCACUCCUAACUCAGGAACCUAGUAUUGAAACUUGAACAAGCCUUCCCUGUCUGGCUGUAAUGCAGCCCAGACAUCCCUUGUUAACAAGUUAGUCAACAGUGCUCUGAACAAUAUCCGGUAAGUCUGGUGUCUUACUUGCCGAACCAGUCAAAACAAGAAAAGUGGGCUCUGUUGGAACAUUCCCUUUGGUUAACUGAAGAUCUCUAGUUUCAUUUCUCCCCACCACCAUCCCCUUUGUUCAUUCCUUGUGCAUUCAGUCAGCAGAGGAGCCGGGGGGGGAUAUGACGAACUUUCACUGAGUAUAUACUACGUGCUGGUUACAGUUUCAGGAAUACGAAGCUGUAAGGUUUACUCUCUUUCUGCAGGAAGCUCACAGUCCAGCUAAGGAGACACAUACAAAAAUAAACAAUGGUGAUCCUUAGGGGUAGAUACAAUACUGGAAGUGGUACUUGGUACAACGGUAGCUCAUAGGAGGGAGAGACAGAAUGGCUUAAUUGGAUCCUUCACAAAAACUGAUAUCCAUCAUUAUUCCACUUCCGCUGUAUGCCAGACACUGUAUCAAAUAUUUCACCUGUUUUAUCUCAUUUAAUUCUCCAUUGACUACCAUUUCAAAGAUUAGUAAAACAAAGCUCCAGGAAAACAAGUAACAUACCCAAGGCCAUGAAACUAGUAAGAGGCAGAGCCAGGAUUGAAGUCGAGGUCAGUCUGUCUUUCAGUUCUCUGAUGCUCCUCACCG